CACAGAGGGGCAGCUGGAUGGCCUGCCAGGGCGAGCAACUGUGGUAUAAUUCCAGACAGCUGCUUCUGUCAGGGGACGGCUUAUCCGGCCAGGUUGAGCCCUCUAUGAGAGCUUUGGAGCUGUUGGAAGGAGGGGUGAGACUUGGAGGACCAGGAGACACCUCACAUUCUGCAGCUCCUUAGAGGAAAACUCAGGGCCCAGCCAUUUGGGACUCAAUGAGCCAUAGCAGGAUUUCCUGUGAGGAACAACCCACAAUCUUACCAGGCUGCCUCAGUCAUUUAAAAAAUGUUCCAAAAAAUUACACAGACUGGAUUUUCUUUUUUUUUUUCCCUAGAAACAAACUUACAGAGCAGAAAAUCUAGACCAUAUAGAAACCAAGAAAAAGCAACCUGACAUCCUCUAAAUGAGCUGACCCCACUCUUAGGUUACUUUACAACUCAGCCUUGAGUUUGUGCAGAUGGCUGCGCUUACAGCUGGAUACAAUAACUGUACUAUUAUGUAUUUGUGUAAAAUUUUAGGAUUUUCAUUUUUCACCUCAUUUGAGUAUCCCCAGAAUCCUUAAAGUAGAUGAGGCCCUUACAUCACCCAUUUUACAGACCAGAUAAAUUACAUCAUCACAACUCAUCACGAACUAACGGUUUUUCAUUUCAAAGGAGAUUUGUAUCCUGCAUUAUCCCAUUGAUUCUCCUAAAUAGUAACAAAAGCAACAACGGAAACAUCUCCAUUUAGAGAAGAGGAAAUUAAGGCUACCAUGAUUCCUUCUCAAGAACUGAAUUCUGGGGCAGCCCUCGAGAUCUUAAGUUACACAAUGCCAGCUUUUCCCACAGGAGUUACCAUCCCCUGGGGGCCAGCUUGAGGCAGGGUCACAAGGCUCACCUGAAUCUGUGCUGGGGAGAACCAAGAUGUCAACUCUGCCAUGGACUUGGAACAGGCCAGAUCCUGCAGCCUUCAGACCAGGGACCUGCCAGGACACCUCCCCCUUCCCCAGGCCCAAGCUGAUGUGAGACCUCCCUCCAGACACUGUGAUGGGGCCAGCUGGCUCUGGCAUUUGCCCAGCUGCCUCUGCCAAAUCGUCACAUUCCAUAAUACGAAUUGUCUUUCUAGCGUUCUAUUCCAGGUCCCUUCCUCUUCUCCCCCCAUUCCUAAACUGGCUUCUCCAACACUGAGGAUCCACUCAGGCAGAAAGAGUUUCCCUUCUAAAGACUUCAGCAGAGGUCCUAGAGUUCUGAGGCAUUUCCUCUCCCCUAUCCCCGGGAGGCUGGUGGAGGUGCUGGGGAGAGCUACGGUGGCCACCGAUGUCUGCCAUAUUGCCUUGGAGCCUAAAAUCCUUGGUCAAUUUACUUUUAAAAUUUAUACAACAGCAUUUUGCAAAGUGCGUUCCGAUUUAUACUGUCAUUAUAAUCUGACACUAGCCUAAUCUCAGGAGCUAGGAAUGUGAGAUGUCACAGCAUCAGUGUCUAUUUUGCAGAUGAAGAAACGGAGGCACAGCAUAGCUAAGUGGCUCAUCCAAGCCACACAGAGAAACCCCCGACUUCUAAUUGAAUUUACCUUCAUGGGCCCAUACACUGAUUUCAAGACUUAAGAUUUAAAGUAGAUAGGGUAUUUGCAUGUGUCCCAGAAUAGUAUCAGAGGCAGGCGCCAAACAAAAAUGCCUGGGUCAAGGGUUGUUAGGUCCCCUGAACUGCUGUUGUGACCUGCCCAUCCCAUGUUAUGGGACAAGACCCUCAACUAUAAAGUCUUUACUUCCCACCUCCCUGAGCUGUCCUGCAGCUGAAGGAAACCUAGGGAAAGUGACCAGGAGACCCCAGGACCUUUGUCCCAGCAGACCGAGGAAUCUAUUAAAGUCUGAGGCAGGCAGGAGGGAAAUAACAAAAAGGAAGUCAAAGAACAAGGUGCAGAGAGAGGAGAUUACUCCAAAUGAAGGGGUUUUUCCUCACUGAUAAGGUGCGAGGCGGGAACAGCAAAGUGACGCAAGGGCUGGGCCGCUUCUGCAUGUGGGUGUCAGGGAGGAGAUGGUUAAGGAGUUUUGACAUAACACAGUAAGUGUUUUAAAAAAAAAAAACUCAGCACAUACACAUAACCAGCUACAAGUUUCAGAAGUGAGGAAAACCAUGGUGACUAGCUUAAGGGAACUUAGCCGCCAACGCAGCAGAAAGCACCACCUGCUCUGACUAACAGGUUCCAGCUCCUAAAAUGUCACUUGCUUUUCCACAUUGACUUUUGCUUUUCCCUGGCUGCCAGAAACCAUUUUGGUGGCCAAAUGAAGCCAUGCAUUAGAGAGCUGAGAUGCUUCAGAGUUAGAGGUGGCAAACAAACAGGGCUUUCAUGAUCUGUAAGACCGAAGCAAGAAGUGCCGUCCCCAGAACUGGCCAUAAGGUAGUCAGAAAGGAGAGCCUCCCAGGGUGAGGUGCCCCGGGGAAGGAAGUGAGGGGAGUUGGCUGUCCCUCCCCUGGAACUAUCUGAAAGGGCAGGAAGAGCCCCAUCUCCUUGGGUGGCACUGUCCUUUCAGGAAAAAAGGGAGGACUAGAUGGCUUCUGAAAGAUCCUUCCUGAGAAGGCUGUGGUUUCUGAACAGUUGGGCUUCAUCCGUCUUUCUCCCUGGGUGUGGGUCCCCCAAAGGGGAAGUUUGCUCCAAAAUCUGCAAACACAGCUGCAUGAAUACAAAACUAAAAUGCCUUGGGGUACAGUGUCAUUGGCACCAUCUGGUUAAAAAUGACCAAAAGUGGUUUCUAAUUUUUACAGGUACGUGUGUUCUCAACAAAUCCCAGGAAAGCUUAAAGUCACACUAAUCUAUAGCUAAUUAUCCCACCUGGCAGCUGACUGCAUAGCCCUUCCUCCUACCUGGGUUUGAAACUCCUUCCGCCCUACCAACAGUUUGGCUGUGAGGGUUCAGUGGGGUGACUGGGUCACCCUGAGCCUUUGCCAGCCUAGGUCGCCAACAUUCCUCUAUUUAUAGGGUCUCUAUGGAAACAGGGCCAGCAUUAGAGAACUAAUCACUGUAAAAACCCACAGAGUUCUACUCUUAGGAUCCAAAGUGGAUUGAAGAAGUCUCCAAUUGCCCUUAAGAAGCUCUGGGUGGGGAGCCUGAGUGGGAGCAGGAGAGGAACCAUUACCCCAGAGAAUUCAGCCUGGAGCCAAAGCAAGUGGGAAAAGGUCACCUCAUCCACCAUGUCUUUAGGCAGAACUGAUUCAGCACACACCAACAUAGAAGACUUUUAUUAAAGUUCCCAGCAUGGCGUGCCCUCUCUCUGCCUCUUUGCAUCCUACCCAUCCUUCACCACCUCGCCACUCCAUAAAGCCCUCUCUGAUCACACCAGUCUGCAGCGAUCUCGCCCUGCUCUGAACACAUAAGCGCUCAUUAUCUGCACCACUCAUUUUGCAAUUAAUCGUGUACUGCCUUGUGACAUCGCUUCUAGUGCUUUGUCUGACUGUUAUCCAACUUCUCACCUGCUGACGGAUGGAACCCUUGAUGACAAUAUGAGUGACUGGACAGCAGGAGCUACAGCUCCUACAUCUCUGUGUCCCUAACAUUACCUGGCAGAGGCCUCAACACCAACAUGGAAGACAGCUAGGUAUACUUCAAUUCUACCUCCUCUGAUAAAACUUAUCCCAGGCGUCCGGCUCCCACCUGAGAUUGCAGGAAUCUUCAAGCCUUAACAUAUCUACUGGGCCUCAAGAUGCAGCAGGCCCUCAGAGAGCCAUCGCAACCAUCACAACACUCCUGGAGAGCCCCAGGGAACGUACAUAUCUUCAUUCCACCUACGUUCUUAUGAAGUAGCUUGUCUUCUCCUUCAUUUAAAAAAUGAAGAAACUCUCCACUCUCACUGCUUCAUUUGACUACCCUUUAAAAAAAAAAGGAGAAACUGAGACCUAUAAAUUUUAUCAAAACCCUGAGCCUUGAAAAAAUAUAUAUAUAAGAAAUAAACAAAUAGAAAACAAGCAGGUGCUUCUCGGGAAUGUCAGUUUUUUUUUUUCCUUGACUUGGGUAGAUGAGGUGUCUGCUUUGCUUCUGUUAUUUAAACUGCGUACAUGUUUUCAGGCACUUUUAUAAGCAUGUUUCACAAUUUAAUUCAGCAGCACCUUUCCUGCUGAAGGUGGUAUCUGCUGACUGCAUGAACCCUUCUCUAGUGGGCUCUCUGCAGGAGUGGUGAAGGAACACACGCCACUCACAGUGGGAGGAAGCUGCCUGUGACCACCAGGAAAGGCGGAGAGCCAGCAGGGAGAACCACACAGGACUCAGUUGUGACUUUCUCUCAGAUAUCUGGCUUCGAAUUAUCUUUCCUGCUCUUCACUAAGUAGGCAGGAAGACCAGUGUAUGGUGUGACUGGAACAUGAACUGGAACCCAAAUGAGUCUUGAGUCAAAAGUGCUUCAAACCAGGAGGGGAAUGAUGGAAUUUGGAGCUCCCCCUUUUUCUUCAGGGAAAUAUAUUAAUACUGCUCAGAAAUCUCCAGGGAAAUUACUUAAAGGGGCUUUUGUGAGAGGAAAGAGAACCUUAGGGGAAGUCCAGGGGGAAAGCCCAUGGCCAGCAUCCCCAGACACCUCCUUUCAGGAAAGACUCAAUUCUUCCCACUGUGAGAGAGGUGGGGAGGUUGGUAAUUUCCUCCCGUGCCUUCAGACUUCCAUCACAUAUCAGGAUAGAACCAGCUCACUCUUAUGCUUGGCCACUCAUCCUGGGCCUCAGAAGUAUCUACCACACGUUGUGGUUUUUUUUUUUUUUUUCGGUUGUUGUUUUUUG
rnacentral:lncRNA from 1 species